rnacentral:rRNA from 1 species
CCUACGGGUGGCAGCAGUGAGGAAUAUUUGUCAAUGGACGAGAGUCUGAACCAGCCAAGUAGCGUGAAGGAUGACUGCCCUAUGGGUUGUAAACUUCUUUUAUAUGGGAAUAAAAUGUUCCACGUGUGGGUUUUUGUAUGUACCAUAUGAAUAAGGAUCGGCUAACUCCGUGCCAGCAGCCGCGGUAAUACGGAGGAUCCGAGCGUUAUCCGGAUUUAUUGGGUUUAAAGGGAGCGUAGGUGGAUUGUUAAGUCAGUUGUGAAAGUUUGCGGCUCAACCGUAAAAUUGCAGUUGAAACUGGCAGUCUUGAGGACAGUAGAGGUGGGCGGAAUUCGUGGUGUAGCGGUGAAAUGCUUAGAUAUCACGAAGAACUCCGAUUGCGAAGGCAGCUCACUGAACUGCAACUGACACUGAGGCUCGAAAGUGUGGGUAUCAAACAGGAUUAGAGACCCGUGUAGGC